rnacentral:rRNA from 1 species
UACGUAGGGUGCAAGCGUUAAUCGGAAUUACUGGGCGUAAAGCGUGCGCAGGCGGUCAAGUAAGUCUUGUGUGAAAUCCCUGGGCUCAACCGAGGAAGUGCAUGGGAAACUACUUGGCUUGCAGACGGUAGAGGAAGGUGGAAUUCCAAGUGUAGAGGUGAAAUUCGUAGAUAUUUGGAGGAAUACCGGUGGCGAAGGCGGCCUUCUGGACCGAUCUGGACGCUGAGAGCGAAAGCGUGGGGAGCA